rfam:Stegodyphus mimosarum contig126931, whole genome shotgun sequence.
GCCUUCGUGGGGUAACUGGAAGCACACUCGACGUGUAUUCGAGAGAUCCAGGGUUCGAAUCCCGGCGAGGGCA